AACGCGAAGAACCUUACCUGGGUUUGGCAUCCUCUGAACGCCGUAGAGAUACGGAAGGCCCGAAAGGGACAGAGAGACAGGUGCUGCAUGGCUGUCGUCAGCUCGUGUCGUGAGAUGUUGGGUUAAGUCCCGCAACGAGCGCAACCCUUAUUUUUAGUUGCCAGCAUUAAGUUGGGCACUCUAAAAAGACUGCCAACGUUAAGUUGGAGGAAGGCGGGGAUGACGUCAAGUCCUCAUGGCCUUUAUAUCCAGGGCAACACACGUUCUACAAUGGCCGGUACAAAGCGCUGCGAAAUCGUGAGAUGGAGCUAACCGCAAAAAACCGGUCUAAGUUCAGAUUGGAGUCUGCAACUCGACUCCAUGAAGUUGGAAUCGCUAGUAAUCGCGGAUCAGAACGCCGCGGUGAAUACGUUCCCGGGCCUUGUACACACCGUGUCGA
rnacentral:rRNA from 1 species